AGAGUGAACGCUGGCGGUAGGCCUAACACAUGCAAGUCGAACGGCAGCACAGUGGUAGCAAUACCAUGGGUGGCGAGUGGCGGACGGGUGAGGAAUACAUCGGAAUCUACCUUUUCGUGGGGGAUAACGUAGGGAAACUUACGCUAAUACCGCAUACGCCCUUCGGGGGAAAGCCGGGGAUCGCAAGACCUGGCGCGGAUAGAUUGAGCCGAUGUCGGAUUAGCUAGUUGGUGAGGUAAUGGCUCACCAAGGCGACGAUCCGUAGCUGGUCUGAGAGGAUGAUCAGCCACACUGGAACUGAGACACGGUCCAGACUCCUACGGGAGCAGCAGUGGGGAAUAUUGGACAAGUGGGCGCGAAGCCUGGAUCCCAGCCCAU
rnacentral:rRNA from 1 species